rnacentral:rRNA from 1 species
AGAGUUUGAUCCUGGCUCAGGAUGAACGCUAGCUACAGGCUUAACACAUGCAAGUCGAGGGGCAGCAUCAUCAAAGCUUGCUUUGAUGGAUGGCGACCGGCGCACGGGUGAGUAACACGUAUCCAACCUGCCGACAACACUGGGAUAGCCUUUCGAAAGAAAGAUUAAUACCGGAUGGCAUAAUUAUUCCGCAUGGGAUAAUUAUUAAAGAAUUUCGGUUGUCGAUGGGGAUGCGUUCCAUUACGG